UGGGGAAUCUUGCGCAAUGCACGAAAGUGUGACGCAGCAACGCCGCGUGGGGGAAGAAGGCCUUCGGGUCGUAAACCCCUUUCAGGAGGGACGAAGCCCAGGCGGUUAAUAGCCGACCUGGGUGACGGUACCUCCACAAGAAGCCCCGGCUAACUACGUGCCAGCAGCCGCGGUAAUACGUAGGGGGCAAGCGUUGUCCGGAAUUAUUGGGCGUAAAGCGCGUGUAGGCGGUUCAAUAAGUCGGUUGUGAAAGUCCAGGGCUCAACCCUGGGAUGCCGAUCGAUACUGUUGGACUAGAGUCCGGAAGAGGCGAGUGGAAUUCCCGGUGUAGCGGUGAAAUGCGCAGAUAUCGGGAGGAACACCAAUGGCGAAGGCAGCUCGCUGGGACGGUACUGACGCUGAGACGCGAAAGCGUGGGGAGCAAACAG
rnacentral:rRNA from 1 species